rnacentral:rRNA from 1 species
GACGAACGCUGGCGGCGUGCUUAACACAUGCAAGUCGAACGGUGAAGCGCCUUCCUUUUUGGUGGGUGUGGAUGAGUGGCGAACGGGUGAGUAACACGUGAGUAACCUGCCCCCUUCUUCUGGAUAACCGCAUGAAAGUGUGGCUAAUACGGGAUAUUCUGGGUCUGUCGCAUGAUGGGUCUGGGAAAGAUAUUGUUUCGGUGGGGGAUGGGCUCGCGGCCUAUCAGCUUGUUUGUGGGGUGAUGGCCUACCAAGGCGGUGACGGGUAGCCGGCCUGAGAGGGUGGACGGUCACACUGGGACUGAGACACGGCCCAGACUCCUACGGGAGGCAGCAGUGGGGAAUAUUGCACAAUGGGCGCAAGCCUGAUGCAGCGACGCCGCGUGAGGGAUGGAGGCCUUCGGGUUGUGAACCUCUUUCGCCAGUGAAGCAGGCCUGCCUCGUUUGUGGGUGGGUUGACGGUAGCUGGAUAAGAAGCGCCGGCUAACUACGUG